rnacentral:lncRNA from 1 species
CUGCAGAGAAGCCAAGAUAGUGCAUUUCUAACAAACUUCAAAUGGCUUACAUACUGCUAGUCCUGAGACCAUAUUUUGAGUAGUGAAGAGCUAGAGUCCUAAGACCAUAAGGUCACUGAAGACUGGACUGCUGGCUUUUUCCUGGAGCUCUGAGUUCUGCUGGAUGGCACUAAGUAUUUGUGUUGGAAAGGUAUUAUAAAUUCCUUUUUGAAAUUAGAUAAGACAGAAGGAAAAGAA